UUAGAGGCUGUAUGAGCUGGGAGUUUUGACAUAGCUUUAAUCUCUUCUCUCACAUCAAAGUCACGCUGCUGGUAUUUACAAACGGCAGGUGUGAGGCUUAAUUCUCUGAAUGACUGUCGUGUCAUCUUAUGAUUUUGGUGGCCUGAGUCAUUAUAUUUGAAUGCUUGGAACUGGCAAUGCUGCAAAUUAUUCAGAAAGCAUCACAACCCUGUGUGAGCUAGUAAUUAACCCUUAAGGAAUGCCCAAUUGCCACACCAAAAGAAGCUAAUACAAAAUUACCAGGGAUUAAAGCAAAAGAAGGAGAUGCUGAUCUCCUGGGCUGUAUGCUGCUCUACCAGAACGAAGGAGCCUCCUUGUUGCCCAUUGUUUCGUCAAAAAAAUUCCAGACCAGUUCUAUCCUGGAUGAUGUAUAGCUCCUUUCCAGCAAACCUGGACAGCACAGCUUCCUUGCUUUCCUAGUAACUGGCCAAGACAGAGACUUCAAUGAGACUGACCUGGCUGAAGGACAGUGUGGAAAAGAUGGAGACCCUGCUGGUUGUCAGUGGCAAUAUUGCUCAUAAGUAAGCUGUGCUGUCAAGGAAGCUGGGGAAGGAAGAGUGGUCAAGGAGUUGACAAUCCUUGUGGAUACCCCAAUAUCUAGAGGUCUAGGAUCAAGAUUCUCCACUGACUCUCACGCUCCUUCGGGGGUAAGUAUUUUUUAUCCAUUGAACAGGCACAACAAUGGCAGUGCAGACUUCCCCAUUUACUGGAAAGAUAUUUGAUAAAAAGAUUUGCUUGUAUUUAUAAGAAAAAUCAACUGUAAAACACAGGAUUCAUUUUAUAAUUGAAUUAAGACAUUCUAGGGGUGAAUUAACAUAUAUCUUGUGUGGCUGAAGAUGCAAAUUUAUACAACAGGUGCCUAUAACUUCACUCCUCCCAACCCAUCUGAGAGGUGUGUUAAUGGUCCAAUAAAACGUGGCAGUGGUGUUACCCUGCUUAUUAGGAAACACUGUAAUAAUAGGCAUAUUGCUUGUGCUUUUAAAAAAAAUAUUAAACCAACUAAGAGGAAAAAUCCCAGCAAUAAGCAGAUUUUCCUUCUAAAGCCAACAUAAGUUCAAAUACAGUGUUGGCCAGUGUUCAAAUUACAUUAUAACAGUUCUGUGUGACUCCAAUAAAAAUGCACAUAAGACUCCACAGAAUAAUUCAUGGCUCAUUGAUGAUGAAGUGGCUGUGACUUGGAAAGCAUCUGGAGGUACUUGUAAACUCAAGAUGGUUACCCACUCACAAUUUAGAAUCUCUCCCCAGAAUAAUCUGGAUGUGCACAGUUCAAACAUACACACUGGCUUUUUUUUCUGGACCCAUUAAAUGAUUUUACUAUUUUUAAUU